GGAGGAGGAAAGACAGGAGGUGAGACAGGAGGUGAGACAGGAGGAGUUGAGACAGGAGGUGAGACAGGAGGAGGAAAGACAGGAGGUGAGACAGGAGGUGAGACAGGAGGAGAAACAGGAGGAAAUGGAACAGCGUCUCCAUCUUUUAAUGAACGGGAGAAAGUCCUUGUUUAGGUAACAUGAUUCCUCAGGGCCAAUCACAGGACAGGAAAAUCUUCAGUGGACGAGGCGUGUCAUUGGUCGAUCCUUUUGUUUUUCUUUUCAAGUUUAAAAUGUAAUUAUGCUUAUACCUGUUUGUAGUUCCUUCAGAAUAAAAGCCCUUUUGUCCUUUAAUUUAUAGCAGUCAUUU